ACUGGGCAUGGUGGUGCAUGCCUAUAAUCCCAGCAACUCGGGAGGCUGAGGCAGGAGGAUCAUGAGUUCAAAUCUAGCCUCUGCAAAAGCGAGCAACUCAGUGAGACCCUGUCUCUA
rnacentral:sRNA from 1 species